rnacentral:rRNA from 1 species
GCAUAUCAAUAAGCGGAGGAAAAGAAACCAACAGGGAUUGCCUCAGUAACGGCGAGUGAAGCGGCAACAGCUCAAAUUUGAAAUCUGGCCUCUUUGGGGUCCGAGUUGUAAUUUGUAGAGGAUGUUUCGGGUACCGCCUCGGUCUAAAUUUCUUGGAACAGAAUGUCAAAGAGGGUGAGAAUCCCGUCUUGGACCGGCGGUAGGGCCCAUGUGAAACUCCUUCGACGAGUCGAGUUGUUUGGGAAUGCAGCUCAAAAUGGGUGGUAAAUUUCAUCUAAAGCUAAAUAUUGGCCAGAGACCGAUAGCGCACAAGUAGAGUGAUCGAAAGAUGAAAAGCACUUUGAAAAGAGAGUUAAACAGUAUGUGAAAUUGUUGAAAGGGAAGCGCUUGCAACCAGACUUGAGCGCGGCGGUUCCCCCUUCCUUUUGGUUGGGUUACUCCGCCGUGUCCAGGCCAACAUCGGUUCUGGGGGUCGGUUAAAGGCUCGAGGAAUGUAUCUACUCCUUCGGGGGUAGACUUAUAGCCUCGGGUGUCAUGCGACCUCCCGGGACCGAGGAACGCGCUUCGGCUCGGAUGUUGGCGUAAUGGUUGUCAGCGACCCGUCUUGAAACACGGACCAAGGAGUCUAACAUCUAUGCGAGUGUUUGGGUGUCAAACCCGGAACGCGGAAUGAAAGUGAACGGAGGUAGGAAGCCGCAAGGCUGCACUAUCGACCGAUCCUGAUGUCUUCGGAUGGAUUUGAGUAAGAGCAUAGCUGUUGGGACCCGAAAGAUGGUGAACUAUGCCUGAAUAGGGUGAAGCCAGAGGAAACUCUGGUGGAGGCUCGCAGCGGUUCUGACGUGCAAAUCGAUCGUCAAAUUUGGGUAUAGGGGCGAAAGACUAAUCGAACCAUCUGGUAGCUGGUUCCUGCC